rnacentral:lncRNA from 1 species
CCGGUUCGAUUUGAUGAAUUCAAAAACCCUAAUCCUAUUAUCAAUUGAAGACGGCUUCAAGGUAACUUGCAAUCGAACUUGAUUUUAGGUAACUUUCAACUUCUUUCAAUUGGUUAUCGUAUGAUACUCGUGGGUUUGUCGAAAACCCUAAUCGGUUUUCUGAGCGAUCUGAUAAAGAUCUGGUUUUAAGGUUUUAAGCGAUUCUUUCAACCAGUGCAAAAAGAUGGGUCCUUCAAGAAACCCAACCUCUCUUCUUCUUCUUCACCAACACCAGCAGUUGAUGGUGAAACAAAAACACCAGCAGUUGUUGAAGAUGAGGAGAAUAAAUCGCAAAAGAAAGAACCCACAAAGUUGUUAACUUGGAAUGCCAACAGCUUUCUUCUUCGUGUUAAAAACAAUUGGCCU